rnacentral:rRNA from 1 species
CUCCUACGGGAGGCAGCAGUGGGGAAUUUUGGACAAUGGGCGCAAGCCUGAUCCAGCCAUGCCGCGUGAGUGAAGAAGGCCUUCGGGUUGUAAAGCUCUUUCGGCAGGAACGAAAUGGUCCGUGCUAAUACCACGGAUUGAUGACGGUACCUGAAGAAGAAGCACCGGCUAACUACGUGCCAGCAGCCGCGGUAAUACGUAGGGUGCAGGCGUUAAUCGGAAUUACUGGGCGUAAAGCGUGCGCAGGCGGUUUCUUAAGUCAGAUGUGAAAGCCCCGGGCUUAACCUGGGAACUGCGUUUGAAACUGGGAGACUUGAGUGUGGCAGAGGGGGGUGGAAUUCCACGUGUAGCAGUGAAAUGCGUAGAUAUGUGGAGGAACACCGAUGGCGAAGGCAGCCCCCUGGGUUAACACUGACGCUCAUGCACGAAAGCGUGGGGAGCAAACAGGAUUAGAUACCCUGGUAGUCCACGCCCUAAACUAUGUCAACUAGUUGUCGGGGAAGCAAUUCUUUGGUAACGAAGCUAACGCGUGAAGUUGACCGCCUGGGGAGUACGGUCGCAAGAUUAAAACUCAAAGGAAUUGACGG